UUACGGCCAUAUCACGUUGAAACACUGGUUCUCGUACGAUCAGCGAAGUUAAGCAACGUUGAACCUAGUCAAUACCUAAAUGGGUGACCACUUGAGAAUACCAGGUGUUGCAAU